UUAUUAAUACGUACCCGCUUUUACGUUCGCCAAAAUGGCGUAUACGCAAAUAAAUGAUUUCAACGUGUAACUUAAAGAAGUUUAAAAGAAAAUGAUAAAGGCAAGACUCGAAGCUUACAGGCGUAAAAAACAUAGAGAAGAAAUGAUAGAAUCGGUUAAAAGUUCGAUAAAAGGUAUUUUAUCGUGGAAUGAAAAUUCUAAUGUAAAUUUAAGACUGUCGAACGACCUACCGAACGAAGAGACGGAAAAGUUAUGCCAGCCUGUUGAAACCACAAACCAAAAAAUAAUAUCUAAAGAAAAAAUAGGGGAUUUAGAGAGUGCAGAUGAUUUAGAUAGUUUGGAAGAUGAGACGGAAGAUAAUGCUCAGUGUCAUUUAUUAUCUAAGUUAAUAUAUUUUCUAUAUUUUUCCCUAUGGAUUGUUUUGUAUAUUAUUGCAGUACAAAUUGAAUUUGGAGCUGUUUAUUUUGUGAUAUCUGCGUUAAUAUUAAUUUGUUUAAAUACGAGAUCGAGACCUAGAAAAAAAGGUGAACUCAGUGCUUAUUCUGUUUUUAAUCCAAAUUGCGAAGCUAUUGAAGGAACCCUCGACGCUUCCCAAUUUGAAAGGGAAAUUAGAUACGGUGCAUCCAGCAUGCAUUGAUACAAAGAUACGAGCAAUUCUUCGAUCAAUCCAAUGCCAUUUACACCAUCACCAAAGAUAGUCAUUCUGGUAGUUAAAAGGGCAAAUUGGAAACCGUAUACAAAAACUUAUAAUAUUAAUAUAGAAUUAGUUGCAUAAAAUAAUUGACUUGUUACAGAGAAUGAAACUUAGAAAGAUAUCGCAAAUUUAUAAGGUAACAAUGCAAAAGUUCCAGAAAUUGAAGAUUUCUUAUUAAAAAAAGAAACAUUUUUUUUUAUCAAUUACAUUUAUACAUAUAAUU
rnacentral:misc_RNA from 1 species